CGCGCAGGCGGUUGUGCAAGUCAGUUGUGAAAUCCCCCGGCUUAACCGGGGAACUGCAUCUGAAACUGCAUGACUCGAGUACAGAAGAGGGAAACGGAAUUCCCGGUGUAGAGGUGAAAUUCGUAGAUAUCGGGAGGAACACCAGUGGCGAAGGCGGUUUCCUGGUCUGAUACUGACGCUGAGGCGCGAAAGCGUGGGGAGCAAACAG
rnacentral:rRNA from 1 species